rnacentral:rRNA from 1 species
GUGCUUGGGCGAGAGUAGUACUAGGAUGGGUGACCCCCUGGGAAGACCUCGUGUUGCACCCCCCUUCUUUUUGCAYUUUUCUGCCUUUUUGGAAGAAUGAAAACGCGCGUACGAAUGAACAUGGCUUACAAAAUUCGAGAAUAGUAACGUUUGGCAAUAUAGGAGUAAAAAAGAAAAAGGCCCC